GUCAGAAGUCUGACACCGGCCUCAGUGGGUAAAAUCAAGGACGUGUAUGGAUGACACUGGGCAUGCCGGAUGACCUAAUCUUUCCAUUUCAUGAUCGGCUGAUUAGCGACCUUCACUGCAUCGACGAUCUUACUUCCCUUUUGCCACGUGACAUAGCACAUUCACAGGAACUCCUGAUCAGAGACAGUGCGGACUGGUGGGAACAGAACCCAGGAACAGACUGUUGGAAUCUUCCCGAAUGCAGAUCACUGAUGGGGGGGGGUGUCGGCACCGACCAGCCCCUCCUAGACGCCCCCCCCCUGGAGAAGGUGCAAACCAGGAAGCUGGCUUUAAAAGAUAAGUUCAGCGCCAACAAUUUUCAAAAUAAAUGAACAACACGUAAGAGCCAAACAUGCAUUGCACAGACCCACUGCGGGGGGAGUGCAGUAACUUUCUCCACUCAGGGACAGCAAAGCCUUUCCCCCGCAGGGCCCGGCCACCUCCACCCUUUCCCCCUGCGGCGUGGAUAGGAGGCAGCUGGGGUCCCUCUGGGACAGCUUUUUUGUGAUGAUUUGCAGGCAUCUCCCUGCACCUGUCCGCACAACUGAUUUCUGGAGCGUGUCCUCAGGGACCUCCAGCUCCAGGCCUAUUACUGAAGUCCGUCACCCAGAAAAUCUGUUGACGGAACCGUUCUCUCCGAACUGCAAGCAAAUUGGGAAAUUUGAAUGUGAUGCAAUAAGUCUGCAAUAAAACAGAGCCUGCGAGAAGUGCACGGAGUGUGUCCCCUCCCGGCCCCGGCCCGCCGCGCCUCUGCCGCUUCCCGAGCUGUCAUCCUCCAGGGCGGCCACAUACAGUAUUUAUUUUUUUUAAUUAAGCCGUGUUGCUGUGUGGCUCACCCUCCGCAGAUGCUUUAUAAAGCCCAGCCUUAUA